UACAGAGGUCUCAAGCGUUGUUCGGAUUCAUUGGGCGUAAAGGGUGCGUAGGCGGCGCGGUAAGUCGGGUGUGAAAUCUCGGGAGCUUAACUCCGAAACUGCAUUCGAUACUGCCUGUGCUUGAGGACUGGAGAGGAGACUGGAAUUUACGGUGUAGCGGUGAAAUGCGUAGAUAUCGUAAGGAAGACCAGUGGCGAAGGCGGGUCUCUGGACAGUUCCUGACGCUGAGGCACGAAGGCCAGGGGAGCAAACGGG
rnacentral:rRNA from 1 species